AUAACCCCAAAAUAUUUUUUUUAUAUAAAAAGGGAUAGAAUAGUCCUUUUCAAUUAAUAUAAGGGGUAAAAUAGGAAAGAAUCAAAAGAUAAUGGCAUAGUUGUAGAUAUGUUGAAGUGUUAGGGGCAAAAUGGGAAUUUUUAGAGUUUGAUUUGACUUAAAUAGGGGUUGUCUGGCGGUGGGUUGGCUGAGAAGAGGGAAUUGAGACAGAGAGGGAGAGGAGGUCUCAGGCGACAGAGAGGAAGAAAAAGAAGAAGAGGAAAGGAAAGGAAGAAAGGAAGAGGAAGAAGAGGAAGAAAAAGAAAGGGAAAGGAAUCCCGGGUGCACUUCCAGCUGAAGGGAAAAAUGUAGAUCUCCUUCCCCUCUAUGCAAGGACCUCGAUUUCCAAAAAGAAAAAGGUAAAUAUCCGUCCCUAUCUAGUCUUUUGGUGACAUUAGGCUAUACAAAGGGUGGAUAUAGUCUAGAGGGGUCGGAUAAGGGUUGUAGAGGCGGUUAAAAGAGGAAGAAUCGGAUUUUGACAAAUUUUUCCGGCACUACGAAAAAACUGUGUCGAAGUUCCAACUUCGGCGAAUUAUUUAGGGGGUCAAACGACCUCCGAUAGCAAUGCAUGUUACCUCUUUGGAAUUUUCUAUGAGUGUAGAAUGUUAGGUAAAAAUUUCAUCAAAUUUGGAGUCUGGAAAGUGGAUCAAACCCGGGAUGAAGUAACCGGCUGUCGGUCCGGAUUACUGUUCAUCCGAGUGGAAAAUAAGGGAUUUCAUGCCAUAAUAGGGUAUUAAGCCCAGAUUAAGCUAAGGGGACCUUGUACUCAUGCAAGGGAGUCCCUAAUACACAUAAAUGGUGAGUUAAUUAAUUAAAAAAAAAAGAAGAAAGAAAAGAAAAGAUUUAGGGAACAGGGGAGUUGAAUCAAUUAAAGUUCCCUAUAUUAUAAUUGGCACGUAGAUUAUAACCCUUGAUACAAAACUAAAUAUAUUGUAAAUGCAUGUAUCAGUUGGGCAAGAAGUUAGGGAACAAGAGGAAGAAGUUCCCCACUGCCAGCUGUAAAUUCUAGAGGCGUAUCGAGGCCGUGCCGGAUUGACAGGUGAGUGGGAGUUUGUACUUUGCACCAUGAGCACAUUCCUUAUUCAUUUUCAUGAAUGUUGCCAAGUGUGACUUGAUUCCACCUGAGCUUAUUGAUUAAUUGUUGUAGNNNNNNNNNNNNNNNNNNNNNNNNNNNNNNNNNNNNNNNNNNNNNNNNNNNNNNNNNNAGGAAUUACGAGGGAUUGAUGAGUAAUCAAAUUGAUUCCGAAUUGUGAAAUGAUUUUUUUUGUAAAUUGAUUUCAUUUCCUCUAUUUCAAAGAUUUGUAGAGCCUUUUUAGUGGUAUAUUGAGUUGUAUUGCACUUCCUUGACCCUCACUCCCAACCCUGAUGUUAGUUUAUGAUUGGGUCGGAGUCGAGUGAGUGGUUGUCUUGAUCAUACUCUUUUUUAGUAGAGUAUUGGGAGGGUGCAUUAUGGCAUUCAUGCAUGGCUUGGCAGUAUCUGCAGGACACCUAUAGUCGAUGGGGUUGAACAUCGGCCUUUGUGCACAUAGUAGCCUUCUGGGUGGGCGAAGCCCAGUCCCUUCCUAGGGGGGACACGGCCCUAGGCGUAAGAUUGGUCAGUCCUACGACUUAUAUUCUGCUUGCCGCCGGGCAUAGUAAGAUCCUGCGAGGUGCAGUAUGGUUUUCCGCGGAUGUAGAAUUCCCGCGAGGUGCCGUUUAGUAUAUAGAUGUGAGAUGAAUUUUUGUUCUGGAUACUGGCCAACAUUUAUAUUAUCGGUAUGGUGUCUUAUCCUGCAUAUGCAUGUGAUAGUAGGGAGUUGUUGCUGGUUCGCCUGGGGCUUAAAACCUACCUUCCGACAGCUGUCUAGCAUUUACAUUAUCGAUAUGGUGUCUUAUCCUGCAUAUGCAUGUGACAGUAGGGAGUUGUUGCUGGUUCGCCUGGGGCGUAAAACCCACCUUCCGACAGCUGUCUAGUGAUGAUUUCAGCAUAUUGACACCUGAUU
rnacentral:lncRNA from 1 species